rnacentral:rRNA from 1 species
GAUUGAACGCUGGCGGCAGGCCUAACACAUGCAAGUCGAGCGGUAGAGAGAAGCUUGCUUCUCUUGAGAGCGGCGGACGGGUGAGUAAUGCCUAGGAAUCUGCCUGGUAGUGGGGGAUAACGUUCGGAAACGGACGCUAAUACCGCAUACGUCCUACGGGAGAAAGCAGGGGACCUUCGGGCCUUGCGCUAUCAGAUGAGCCUAGGUCGGAUUAGCUAGUUGGUGGGGUAAUGGCUCACCAAGGCGACGAUCCGUAACUGGUCUGAGAGGAUGAUCAGUCACACUGGAACUGAGACACGGUCCAGACUCCUACGGGAGGCAGCAGUGGGGAAUAUUGGACAAUGGGCGAAAGCCUGAUCCAGCCAUGCCGCGUGUGUGAAGAAGGUCUUCGGAUUGUAAAGCACUUUAAGUUGGGAGGAAGGGCAGUAAAUUAAUACCUUGCUGUUUUGACGUUACCGACAGAAUAAGCACCGGCUAACUCUGUGCCAGCAGCCGCGGUAAUACAGAGGGUGCAAGCGUUAAUCGGAAUUACUGGGCGUAAAGCGCGCGUA